UUAUGAAUUAUAUGAAAGUUGUUUAGAAAAUAAAGAAAGCUUUGUUAACAAAGUUCAAGAA
rnacentral:tRNA from 1 species